GACGAACGCUGGCGGCGUGCCUAAUACAUGCAAGUCGAACGAACUCUGGUAUUGAUUGGUGUUUGCAUCAUGAUUUACAUUUGAGUGAGUGGCGAACUGGUGAGUAACACGUGGGAAACCUGCCCAGAAGCGGGGGAUAACACCUGGAAACAGAUGCUAAUACCGCAUAACAACUUGGACCGCAUGGUCCGAGUUUGAAAGAUGGCUUCGGCUAUCACUUUUGGAUGGUCCCGCGGCGUAUUAGCUAGAUGGUGAGGUAACGGCUCACCAUGGCAAUGAUACGUAGCCGACCUGAGAGGGUAAUCGGCCACAUUGGGACUGAGACACGGCCCAAACUCCUACGGGAGGCAGCAGUAGGGAAUCUUCCACAAUGGACGAAAGUCUGAUGGAGCAACGCCGCGUGAGUGAAGAAGGGUUUCGGCUCGUAAAACUCUGUUGUUAAAGAAGAACAUAUCUGAGAGUAACUGUUCAGGUUUUGACGGUAUUUAACCAGAAAGCCACGGCUAACUACGUGCCAGCAGCCGCGGUAAUACGUAGGUGGCAAGCGUUGUCCGGAUUUAUUGGGCGUAAAGCGAGCGCAGGCGGUUUUUUAAGUCUGAUGUGAAAGCCUUCGGCUCAACCGAAGAAGUGCAUCGGAAACUGGGAAACUUGAGUGCAGAAGAGGACAGUGGAACUCCAUGUGUAGCGGUGAAAUGCGUAGAUAUAUGGAAGAACACCAGUGGCGAAGGCGGCUGUCUGGUCUGUAACUGACGCUGAGGCUCGAAAGUAUGGGUAGCAAACAGGAUUAGAUACCCUGGUAGUCCAUACCGUAAACGAUGAAUGCUAAGUGUUGGAGGGUUUCCGCCCUUCAGUGCUGCAGCUAACGCAUUAAGCAUUCCGCCUGGAGAGUACGGCCGCAAGGCUGAAACUCAAAGGAAUUGACGGGGGCCCGCACAAGCGGUGGAGCAUGUGGUUUAAUUCGAAGCUACGCGAAGAACCUUACCAGGUCUUGACAUACUAUGCAAAUCUAAGAGAUUAGACGUUCCCUUCGGGGACAUGGAUACAGGUGGUGCAUGGUUGUCGUCAGCUCGUGUCGUGAGAUGUUGGGUUAAGUCCCGCAACGAGCGCAACCCUUAUUAUCAGUUGCCAGCAUUAAGUUGGGCACUCUGGUGAGACUGCCGGUGACAAACCGGAGGAAGGUGGGGAUGACGUCAAAUCAUCAUGCCCCUUAUGACCUGGGCUACACACGUGCUACAAUGGAUGGUACAACGAGUUGCGAACUCGCGAGAGUAAGCUAAUCUCUUAAAGCCAUUCUCAGUUCGGAUUGUAGGCUGCAACUCGCCUACAUGAAGUCGGAAUCGCUAGUAAUCGCGGAUCAGCAUGCCGCGGUGAAUACGUUCCCGGGCCUUGUACACACCGCCCGUCACACCAUGAGAGUUUGUAACACCCAAAGUCGGUGGGGUAACCUUUUAGGAACCAGCCGCCUAAGGUGGGACAGAUGAUUAGGGUGAAG
rnacentral:rRNA from 1 species